rnacentral:rRNA from 1 species
AUUGAACGCUGGCGGCAGGCCUAACACAUGCAAGUCGAGCGGAUGAAGGGAGCUUGCUCCUGGAUUCAGCGGCGGACGGGUGAGUAAUGCCUAGGAAUCUGCCUGGUAGUGGGGGAUAACGCCCGGAAACGGGCGCUAAUACCGCAUACGUCCUGAGGGAGAAAGUGGGGGAUCUUCGGACCUCACGCUAUCAGAUGAGCCUAGGUCGGAUUAGCUAGUUGGUGGGGUAAAGGCCUACCAAGGCGACGAUCCGUAACUGGUCUGAGAGGAUGAUCAGUCACACUGGAACUGGGACACGGUCCAGACUCCUACGGGAGGCAGCAGUGGGGAAUAUUGGACAAUGGGCGAAAGCCUGAUCCAGCCAUGCCGCGUGUGUGAAGAAGGUCUUCGGAUUGUAAAGCACUUUAAGUUGGGAGGAAGGGCAGUAAGUUAAUACCUUGCUGUUUUGACGUUACCAACAGAAUAAGCACCGGCUAACUUCGUG